rnacentral:rRNA from 1 species
GAUGAACGCUAGCGGGAGGCCUAAUACAUGCAAGUCGAGCGGUAGAGUGACUUCGGUUGCUUGAGAGCGGCAAACGGGUGAGUAACGCGUACACAAUCUACCUUUAAGAGGGGAAUAGCCCUGGGAAACUGGGAUUAAUGCCCCAUGGCAUCACGAGACGGCAUCGUUUUGUGAUUAAAGCUGAGGUGCUUAGAGAUGAGUGUGCGUCUGAUUAGCUAGUUGGUGCGGUAACGGCGCACCAAGGCGACGAUCAGUAGGGGGCGUGAGAGCGUGGACCCCCACACGGGUACUGAGACACGGACCCGACUCCUACGGGAGGCAGCAGUAAGGAAUAUUGGUCAAUGGAGGAAACUCUGAACCAGCCAUCCCGCGUGCAGGAAGAAUGCCCUAUGGGUUGUAAACUGCUUUUAUCUGGGAAGAAAAGUCGGGAUUUAUCCUGAUCUGACGGUACCAGAGGAAUAAGCACCGGCUAACUCCGUGCCAGCAGCCGCGGUAA